rnacentral:rRNA from 1 species
GACGAACGCUGGCGGCGUGCCUAAUACAUGCAAGUUGAGCGCUGAAGGUUGGUACUUGUACCAACUGGAUGAGUAGCGAACGGGUGAGUAACGCGUGGGGAAUCUGCCUUUGAGCGGGGGACAACAUUUGGAAACGAAUGCUAAUACCGCAUAAAAACUUUAAACACAAGUUUUAAGUUUGAAAGAUGCAAUUGCAUCACUCAAAGAUGAUCCCGCGUUGUAUUAGCUAGUUGGUGAGGUAAAGGCUCACCAAGGCGAUGAUACAUAGCCGACCUGAGAGGGUGAUCGGCCACAUUGGGACUGAGACACGGCCCAAACUCCUACGGGAGGCAGCAGUAGGGAAGCUUCGGCAAUGGACGAAAGUCUGACCGAGCAACGCCGCGUGAGUGAAGAAGGUUUUCGGAUCGUAAAACUCUGUUGGUAGAGAAGAACGUUGGUGAGAGUGGAAAGCUCAUCAAGUGACGGUAACUACCCAGAAAGGGACGGCUAACUACGUG